CCUAGUAACGGCGAGUGAAGAGGGAAGAGCCCAAGAUUGAAAGCUGGCGUCGUUUGCGGCGUUCCGCAUUGUAAUCUCAAGAAGCGUUAUCCGCGUCGGACCAGGUCCAAGUCUCCUGGAAAGGAGCAUCAUGGAGGGUGAAAAUCCCGUGCGUGACCUGGAGCCACCGAAGCACUGCGAUGCGUUUUUUCUCAGAGUCGAGUUGUUUGGGAAUGCAGCUCAAAAUGGGUGGUAAAUGCCAUCUAAGGCUAAAUACAGGGGAGAGACCGAUAGCGAACAAGUACCGUGAGGGAAAGAUGCAAAGAACUUUGGAAAGAGAGUUAAACAGUACGUGAAAUUGCCAGAAGGGAAGGGUAGGAAGUCAGAGAUGCGGGGGCGCGGUUCAGGCGUGUGUCUUUCGGGAUGCCGGCGAAGACUGCGUGACUCUGCAGGCCAACGUCGGUUCUGUGGCGCGGGAAAGCGGGGUUGGGAAUGUGGCAUCUUCUUCGGGAGGUGUGUUUAUAGACCGGCUCUUGGACUGGACCAGCGACUGGGACCGUGGUUUUGACAGUGUGAUGCGGCAGGGGAGCAAUCUGCGGCCGUGUUAGGUCUUCGGGCACUAUUCACACUGAGGGCGUUGGCUUAAUGGCCGUCUACCACCCGUCUUGAAACACGGACCAAGGAGUCUAACAGGUAUGCGAGUCUUUGGGUGUCGAAACCCGGAAGGCGGAAUGAAAGUAAACAGAGGUGGGAAUCCGCAAGGAGGCACCAUCGACCGCUCUCAGCCAACCUGGCUUCGGCCUGGGGGCGAGAUGUGAGUAAGAGCAUGGCUGUUGGGACCCGAAAGAUGGUGAACUAUGCCUGGGUAGGGUGAAGCCAGAGGAAACUCUGGUGGAGGCUCGUAGCGGUUCUGACGUGCAAAUCGAUCGUCGAACCUGGGUAUAGGGGCGAAAGACUAAUCGAACCAUCUAGUAGCUGGUUCCUGCCGAAGUUUCCCUCAGGAUAGCAGAGACUCGCGUUUCAGUUUUAUGCGGUAAAGCGAAUGAUUAGAGGCCUUGGGGGAGUAAUUUCCUCAACCUAUUC
rnacentral:rRNA from 1 species